UACGUAGGGCGCGAGCGUUAUCCGGAAUUAUUGGGCGUAAAGAGCUCGUAGGCGGUCUGUCGCGUCGGAUGUGAAAAUCCAGGGCUCAACCCUGGACCUGCAUUCGAUACGGGCAGACUAGAGUUCGGUAGGGGAGACUGGAAUUCCUGGUGUAGCGGUGAAAUGCGCAGAUAUCAGGAGGAACACCGGUGGCGAAGGCGGGUCUCUGGGCCGAAACUGACGCUGAGGAGCGAAAGCGUGGGGAGCAAACAGG
rnacentral:rRNA from 1 species